GACGAACGCUGGCGGCGUGCUUAACACAUGCAAGUCGAGCGGUAAGGCCCUUUCGGGGGUACACGAGCGGCGAACGGGUGAGUAACACGUGGGUGACCUGCCCUCAGCUCUGGGAUAAGCCUGGGAAACCGGGUCUAAUACUGGAUAUGACUCCAUGACGCAUGUUGUGGGGUGGAAAGCCUUGUGCGGCUGAGGAUGGGGCCCGCGGCCUAUCAGCUUGUUGGUGGGGUGANGGGCCUACCAGGGCGACGACGGGUAGCCGGCCUGAGAGGGCGACCGGCCACACUGGGACUGAGACACGGCCCAGACUCCUACGGGAGGCAGCAGUGGGGAAUCUUGCGCAAUGGGCGAAAGCCUGACGCAGCGACGCCGCGUGAGGGAUGAC
rnacentral:rRNA from 1 species